UACGUAGGUGGCAAGCGUUAUCCGGAAUUAUUGGGCGUAAAGCGCGCGCAGGUGGUUUCUUAAGUCUGAUGUGAAAGCCCACGGCUCAACCGUGGAGGGUCAUUGGAAACUGGGAGACUUGAGUGCAGAAGAGGAAAGUGGAAUUCCAUGUGUAGCGGUGAAAUGCGUAGAGAUAUGGAGGAACACCGGUGGCGAAGGCGACAUCCUGGACCGGUAUUGACGCUGAGGCGCGAAAGCCAGGGGAGCAAACGGG
rnacentral:rRNA from 1 species